GAUGAACGCUGGCGGCGUGCCUAAUACAUGCAAGUCGAGCGAACGGACGAGAAGCUUGCUUCUCUGAUGUUAGCGGCGGACGGGUGAGUAACACGUGGAUAACCUACCUAUAAGACUGGGAUAACUUCGGGAAACCGGAGCUAAUACCGGAUAAUAUUUUGAACCGCAUGGUUCAAAAGUGAAAGACGGUCUUGCUGUCACUUAUAGAUGGAUCCGCGCUGCAUUAGCUAGUUGGUAAGGUAACGGCUUACCAAGGCAACGAUGCAUAGCCGACCUGAGAGGGUGAUCGGCCACACUGGAACUGAGACACGGUCCAGACUCCUACGGGAGGCAGCAGUAGGGAAUCUUCCGCAAUGGGCGAAAGCCUGACGGAGCAACGCCGCGUGAGUGAUGAAGGUCUUCGGAUCGUAAAACUCUGUUAUUAGGGAAGAACAUAUGUGUAAGUAACUGUGCACAUCUUGACGGUACCUAAUCAGAAAGCCACGGCUAACUACGUGCCAGCAGCCGCGGUAAUACGUAGGUGGCAAGCGUUAUCCGGAAUUAUUGGGCGUAAAGCGCGCGUAGGCGGUUUUUUAAGUCUGAUGUGAAAGCCCACGGCUCAACCGUGGAGGGUCAUUGGAAACUGGAAAACUUGAGUGCAGAAGAGGAAAGUGGAAUUCCAUGUGUAGCGGUGAAAUGCGCAGAGAUAUGGAGGAACACCAGUGGCGAAGGCGACUUUCUGGUCUGUAACUGACGCUGAUGUGCGAAAGCGUGGGGAUCAAACAGGAUUAGAUACCCUGGUAGUCCACGCCGUAAACGAUGAGUGCUAAGUGCUAGGGGGUUUCCGCCCCUUAGUGCUGCAGCUAACGCAUUAAGCACUCCGCCUGGGGAGUACGACCGCAAGGUUGAAACUCAAAGGAAUUGACGGGGACCCGCACAAGCGGUGGAGCAUGUGGUUUAAUUCGAAGCAACGCGAAGAACCUUACCAAAUCUUGACAUCCUUUGACAACUCUAGAGAUAGAGCCUUCCCCUUCGGGGGACAAAGUGACAGGUGGUGCAUGGUUGUCGUCAGCUCGUGUCGUGAGAUGUUGGGUUAAGUCCCGCAACGAGCGCAACCCUUAAGCUUAGUUGCCAUCAUUAAGUUGGGCACUCUAAGUUGACUGCCGGUGACAAACCGGAGGAAGGUGGGGAUGACGUCAAAUCAUCAUGCCCCUUAUGAUUUGGGCUACACACGUGCUACAAUGGACAAUACAAAGGGCAGCGAAACCGCGAGGUCAAGCAAAUCCCAUAAAGUUGUUCUCAGUUCGGAUUGUAGUCUGCAACUCGACUACAUGAAGCUGGAAUCGCUAGUAAUCGUAGAUCAGCAUGCUACGGUGAAUACGUUCCCGGGUCU
rnacentral:rRNA from 1 species